rnacentral:lncRNA from 1 species
ACAUCCUUUAAACACCUUCAAACUUGAACUAAAUCAUGCUUCAUUGACUCUCUUGUUAGACUCUUUUACACAAACCAUCAUGGGCAAAUUUAGCCUCAUCUUGUCCUCAAAUGUUGCUUACCUUGAGCCCUCAAGAUCCAUUCAUUUCUUAUUCCAUGUUUUUCCCUUUUCUCACUCAUCCAUUACCAUCUCCAUUAGCUUUACUAUUUUUUUUUUUAACUAAGCAACAUUCCUAAAGCAAGGAAGAUCUUACAGUUGUCAUGUAAAAUUCUCUCAAAUUAGGGUAUUUGACAGCCACACCAUUACGAAAACACUUCUUAACAAUUGAUCUUCCAUCUAAUUCCAUGGGAAAUGACUCCUCAAUCUCCGCUUAGCAAUGUGCAUGAUUGAUCCCAAAUAAUCAAAAGCAAUCACUUGACCAUAGACUAGUUUAAGAUAUAUUCCACAGUUUUAGUAUUACUCAAAUCACUUUUAAGUGACUCUUGACCAUAGAUAGUUUUAGUAUUACUCAACCCUUAAACCAUAGAUUCAGAAGUUUCUCUCCAUACUGCCUACGCAAAAAGGGGGCAAAAAAGUUUAUUGCCAUAAUAGAACUAAACAAUUAUUAAUGAAUAUUGAAACACAAAGCAACUAGGAGAUGGAAGUCUUCUUCCAUUGCUUCACGGUGAAGUAAGACCAAGCCAUGAGCUUAUUAUCCUAGGUCGGAACAAGUUGAUAGGAUCUCCUUUUUUACGUCCCCAUGUCCCUGUCCCUAGUUUUCCAAUUUUACUAUGGUCAAGAUGAUGUAGGACAACCCUAGGAUGGUUGCCUACACUCAAGGGUAGGUGGGGUAGGGUUUUAUUUCUAGGGUGUAAGGAGAGGAGUAAG